rnacentral:rRNA from 1 species
AGAGUUUGAUCCUAGCUCAGGAUGAAUGCUGGCGGCGUGGAUGAGGCAUGCAAGUCGAAUGGGUUCAGACCCAUGGCAGACGAGGUAGGAACACGUAGGUACGUACCCCAAAGUCAGGGAUAAUCUGCCGAAAGGCAGGAUAAUACUUGAUAGUCUCUUCGGAGUAAAGAUUUAUCGCUUUGGGAACGGCCUGCGGGCUAUCAGCUAGUUGGUACGGUAACGGCGUACCAAGGCUACGACGGCUAGGGGAGGUGAGAGCCUGACCCCCACCGAUGGAACUGCGACACGGUCCAUACUCCUACGGGAGGCUGCAGUCGAGAAUCUUCCGCAAUGGGCGAAAGCCUGACGGAGCGACGCCGCGUGGUGGAUGAAGUCCUUCGGGACGUAAACACCUUUUAUGAGGGAGGAAAUUUUGACGUUACCUCAUGAAUAAGGGGCUCCCAACUCUGUGCCAGCAGGAGCGGUAAUACAGAGGCCCCAAGCAUUAUCCGGAUUUACUGGGCGUAAAGGGUGCGUAGGCGGUUAUAUUAGUCAGGUGUCAAAGCCUCGGGCUCAACCCGAGAUCCGCAUUUGAAACGGUAUAACUAGAAUGAGUCAGAGGCAAGCAGAACUCACGGUGUAGGGGUGAAAUCCGUUGAUAUCGUGGGGAAUACCAAAUGCGAAGGCAGCUUGCUGGGACUUUAUUGACGCUGAGGCACGAAAGCGUGGGUAGCGAAGCGGAUUAGAUACCCGCGUAGUCCACGCCCUAAACGCUGUCUGUUGGCUAUGGGGAGUAUCGACCCUCUCCGUGGCGAAGUUAACACGUUAAACAGACCGCCUGGGUAGUACGAGCGCAAGCUUAAAACUCAAAGGAAUAGACGGGGGCUCGCACAAGCAGUGGAUCAUGUGGCUUAAUUCGUCGAUAAGCGAAAAACCUUACCGAGACUAGAAACCAUACUGCACGCCCUGGGAAACCAGGGAAGUCUUCGAGAGUGUAUGGCAGGUGAUGCA